UUCCUACGGGAGGCAGCAGUCGAGAGGCUUCGGCAAUGGGGGAAACCCUGACCGAGCGACGCCGCGUGAGGGAUGAAGGCUUUCGGGUUGUAAACCUCUUUUGUUGGGGAAGAAAUGCGAUCAGGUGAAUAAUCUGGUCGUUUGACGGUACCCAACGAAUAAGCUCCGGCUAACUCCGUGCCAGCAGCCGCGGUAACACGGGGGGAGCAAGCGUUGUUCGGAAUCACUGGGCGUAAAGGGCGUGUAGGCUGCACGGUAAGUGAGAUGUGAAAUCCCUCGGCUCACCCGAGGAAGUGCAUCUCAAACUGCCGUGCUUGAGUACGGAAGAGGUUGUGGGAAUUCCUGGUGUAGCGGUGAAAUGCGUAGAUAUCAGGAGGAACACCGGUGGCGAAGGCGCACAACUGGCCCGAUACUGACGCUGAGGCGCGAAAGCUAGGGUAGCAAACGGGAUUAGAUACCCCGGUAGUCCUAGCCGUAAACGGUGAUCACUAGGUGUUGGGGGCGUUGACCCCUUCAGUGCCGCAGCUAACGCAUUAAGUGAUCCGCCUGGGGAGUACGGCCGCAAGGCUGAAACUCAAAUGAAUUGACGGAA
rnacentral:rRNA from 1 species